GGCGAACGGGUGAGUAACGCGUGAAGAACCUGCCUUUCAGUGGGGGACAACAGUUGGAAACGACUGCUAAUACCGCAUAAUGUUAUUUGAGGGCAUCCUCGGAUAACCAAAGAUUUAUUGCUGAAAGAUGGCUUCGCGUCUGAUUAGCUAGAUGGCGGGGUAACGGCCCACCAUGGCGACGAUCAGUAGCCGGUCUGAGAGGGAUGAAACGGCCACAUUGGGACUGAGAUACGGCCCAGACUCCUACGGGAGGCAGCAGUGGGGAAUAUUGGGCAAUGGGCGAAAGCCUGACCCAGCAACGCCGCGUGAAGGAAGAAGGCCUCGGGUUGUAAACUUCUUUUACCAGGGACGAAUAAUGACGGUACCUGGAGAAAAAGCAACGGCUAACUACGUG
rnacentral:rRNA from 1 species